UACAGAGGGUGCAAGCGUUAAUCGGAAUUACUGGGCGUAAAGCGUGCGUAGACGGUUACAUAAGUCGGAUGUGAAAGCCCCGGGCUCAACCUGGGAAUUGCAUUCGAGACUGUGUAGCUAGGAUGCGGAAGAGGGAAGCGGAAUUUCCGGUGUAGCGGUGAAAUGCGUAGAUAUCGGAAGGAACACCAGUGGCGAAGGCGGCUCUCUGGGACGGUACUGACGCUGAGACGCGAAAGCGUGGGGAGCAAACAGG
rnacentral:rRNA from 1 species